rnacentral:piRNA from 1 species
UUCCACAAGUUGUUCUUUGACCCUCACAUGU